CCUACGGGAGGCAGCAGUGGGGAAUAUUGGUCAAUGGGCGCAAGCCUGACCCAGCAACGCCGCGUGAAGGAAGAAGGCUUUCGGGUUGUAAACUUCUUUUAUCAGGGACGAAGCAAGUGACGGUACCUGAUGAAUAAGCCACGGCUAACUACGUGCCAGCAGCCGCGGUAAGACGUAGGUGGCAGGCGUUAUCCGGAUUUACUGGGUGUAAAGGGCUUUUAGGCGGGAGGGCAAGUCAGAUGUGAAAACUAUGGGCUCAACCCAUAGCCUGCAUUUGAAACUGUACUUCUUGAGUGCGUGGGAGGCAAUCGGAAUUCCGGGUGUAGCGGUGAAAUGCGUAGAUAUACGGAGGAACACCGGUGGCGAAGGCGGAUUGCUGGAGCGUAACUGACGCUGAGGCGCGAAAGCGUGGGGAGCAAACAGGAUUAGAUACCCCGGUAGUC
rnacentral:rRNA from 1 species